rnacentral:misc_RNA from 1 species
AGCAGCCGCGGUAAUUCCAGCUCCAAUAGCGUAUAUUAAAGUUGUUGCAGUUAAAAAAGCUCGUAGUUGAACUUCGGGGUUCACCCAUUGGUCAGGCUUAAUUGUCUGUACUGGUGAGAUGAAUCUCUACCUUCUGAAGAACUUUCAUGCCAUUUAUUUGGUGUGAUGGGAAAUCAGGACUGUUACUUUGAAAAAUUAGAGUGUUUAAAGCAGGCUAACGUCUGAAUACAUUAGCAUGGAAUAAUGAAAUAGGACGGAUUGAUUCUAUUUCGUUGGUUUCUAGGGUCACCGUAAUGGUUAAUAGGGAUAGUUGGGGGCAUUAGUAUUCAAUUGUCAGAGGUNAAAUUCUU